UGCCCCCUUCCUUGCCCACAUCCCAUUUCCAGCCCCUGGAGGAGAGCUUCCAGCGGCCCCAGACAGAGGUCAGAUGGCCGUGGGCAUCCCGUCCCUGCUCACCUGCCAGCCCAGGGACUUCUCAGCCUCCCUGAGCCAUCCAGGGGCACAUGCGUCCAGAACCAGCUGCCAGCAUGGUCCGUGACCCCAGACCGCCUCUCUCCCAUCCCUGCACCAGCACCCUCUAUCCCCACUCACGCUCCUCUGAGCCAGUGCAGGGGGUCGGCCCCCAUGUGUGAGCUAUGCAGAAAGUCCUGCCUCGGGUCCCCUGGGGGACCACAGGGGAAGGGAACGGAAGGAACUAGAACACGGGGAGCUCUUCACCCGGAAUUAAGCUGGAGCCCAAGGAUAGAGCUGUGAACGAGACGGACAGUUCCCUGGCUGUGCGGUGGCUGACACCCCAGCUGUGGGGGCCUGUGACGGUCUGGAAGGAGACGAGAGACAAAAACACGCGUGCCCUGGGGCACGAUGGGGUGAUGCAUUUUCGGCAGCCUGGGAGCUGGUCGGCGAGCCACGUCAGGGCGGCCCCGCUGGUCGGGGGUGGGGGGUGGCGGUCCAGAAAGCACCCACGGGUGGCGUUUCUGGAUCAUAGGAG